GACGAACGCUGGCGGCGUGCUUAACACAUGCAAGUCGAACGGAAAGGCCCCUUUGGGGGUACUCGAGUGGCGAACGGGUGCGUAACACGUGAGUAACCUGCCCUUGACUUCGGGAUAACUUCAGGAAACUGGGGCUAAUACCGGAUAGGAAUCCUUGCUGCAUGGUGGGGGUUGGAAAGCUUCGGCGGUUUUGGAUGGACUCGCGGCUUAUCAGCUUGUUGGUGGGGUAGUGGCUUACCAAGGCUUUGACGGGUAGCCGGCCUGAGAGGGCGACCGGCCACAUUGGGACUGAGAGACGGCCCAGACUCCGACGGGAGGCAGCAGUGGGGAAUAUUGCACAAGGGGCGGAAGCCUGAUGCAGCAACGCCGCGUGCGGGAUGACGGCCUUCGGGUUGUAAACCGCUUUCAGCAGGGGCGAAGCUUGUGGUGACGGUACCUGCAGAAGAAGCACCGGCUAACUACGUG
rnacentral:rRNA from 1 species